CAGUCGCCGCGGGAAUACGUAGGUGGCAAGCGUUGUCCGGAAUUAUUGGGCGUAAAGGGCUCGCAGGCGGUUUCUUAAGUCUGAUGUGAAAGCCCCCGGCUCAACCGGGGAGGGCCAUUGGAAACUGGGAAACUUGAGUGCAGAAGAGGAGAGUGGAAUUCCACGUGUAGCGGUGAAAUGCGUAGAGAUGUGGAGGAACACCAGUGGCGAAGGCGACUCUCUGGUCUGUAACUGACGCUGAGGAGCGAAAGCGUGGGGAGCGAACAGGAUUAGAUACCCCAGUAGUCCCUGUCUCUUAUAC
rnacentral:rRNA from 1 species